CAGGCUGAACAGGAAGCUGUACAACAACCGGUCUGACAAGUUACAAGUGUGGACCUACAUCAUAUCUUCUAGAUGUACAGGUACAAAUUCUACUAGUACGAUUCGAUGCAGUGGAAGAGGUUGAAGUUGACGUUUAAGCACUAAGCAGUCACCCUGCCGAACAAGAAAUCAGUCAGGCAAAGAGGCUAGGUUGACUAGAAACUCAAUCACUGUAUCCGUGGAACUUGCCGGAAGCUAUGUGAGUUAUUUUACCUCCUUAUUUCAAAUGACCUCCAAACCAAUUACAUUGAAGAGGAGUAUAGGUAAUCAGACACUAAAGAGGAC